GGGCUUGUAGCUCAGUUGGUAGAGCAGGAGACUCAUAAUCUCUUGGUCCAAGGUUCGAGUCCUUGCAGGCCCACCA
rnacentral:tRNA from 1 species